rnacentral:rRNA from 1 species
AUCCUGGCUCAGGACGAACGCUGGCGGCGUGCCUAAUACAUGCAAGUCGAACGCUUCUUUUCCCACCGGAGCUUGCUCCACCGGGAAAAGAGGAGUGGCGAACGGGUGAGUAACACGUGGGUAACCUGCCCAUCAGAAGGGGAUAACACUUGGAAACAGGUGCUAAUACCGUAUAACAAUCGAAACCGCAUGGUUUCGUUUUGAAAGGCGCUUUACGGUGCCGCUGAUGGAUGGACCCGCGGUGCAUUAGCUAGUUGGUGAGGUAACGGCUCACCAAGGCCACGAUGCAUAGCCGACCUGAGAGGGUGAUCGGCCACAUUGGGACUGAGACACGGCCCAAACUCCUACGGGAGGCAGCAGUAGGGAAUCUUCGGCAAUGGACGAAAGUCUGACCGAGCAACGCCGCGUGAGUGAAGAAGGUUUUCGGAUCGUAAAACUCUGUUGUUAGAGAAGAACAAGGGUGAGAGUAACUGUUCACCCCUUGACGGUAUCUAACCAGAAAGCCACGGCUAACUACGUGCCAGCAGCCGCGGUAAUACGUAGGUGGCAAGCGUUGUCCGGAUUUAUUGGGCGUAAAGCGAGCGCAGGCGGUUUCUUAAGUCUGAUGUGAAAGCCCCCGGCUCAACCGGGGAGGGUCAUUGGAAACUGGGAGACUUGAGUGCAGAAGAGGAGAGUGGAAUUCCAUGUGUAGCGGUGAAAUGCGUAGAUAUAUGGAGGAACACCAGUGGCGAAGGCGGCUCUCUGGUCUGUAACUGACGCUGAGGCUCGAAAGCGUGGGGAGCAAACAGGAUUAGAUACCCUGGUAGUCCACGCCGUAAACGAUGAGUGCUAAGUGUUGGAGGGUUUCCGCCCUUCAGUGCUGCAGCUAACGCAUUAAGCACUCCGCCUGGGGAGUACGACCGCAAGGUUGAAACUCAAAGGAAUUGACGGGGGCCCGCACAAGCGGUGGAGCAUGUGGUUUAAUUCGAAGCAACGCGAAGAACCUUACCAGGUCUUGACAUCCUUUGACCACUCUAGAGAUAGAGCUUCCCCUUCGGGGGCAAAGUGACAGGUGGUGCAUGGUUGUCGUCAGCUCGUGUCGUGAGAUGUUGGGUUAAGUCCCGCAACGAGCGCAACCCUUAUUGUUAGUUGCCAUCAUUUAGUUGGGCACUCUAGCAAGACUGCCGGUGACAAACCGGAGGAAGGUGGGGAUGACGUCAAAUCAUCAUGCCCCUUAUGACCUGGGCUACACACGUGCUACAAUGGGAAGUACAACGAGUCGCGAAGUCGCGAGGCUAAGCUAAUCUCUUAAAGCUUCUCUCAGUUCGGAUUGUAGGCUGCAACUCGCCUACAUGAAGCCGGAAUCGCUAGUAAUCGCGGAUCAGCACGCCGCGGUGAAUACGUUCCCGGGCCUUGUACACACCGCCCGUCACACCACGAGAGUUUGUAACACCCGAAGUCGGUGAGGUAACCUUUUUGGAGCCAGCCGCCUAAGGUGGGAUAGAUGAUUGGGGUGAAGUCGUAACAAGGUUAACCGUA